GGAGUGGGCACAGUUCAUUUUCAGUUCCUCCGAGGAGCUGGACCAGCUCGCGGCCCAGCCGACUCCCGGCGGCGCGUGGAGAGGCUGAGCUCGUACGUACACAUGUACGCGCCGUGUUGCUCUGGCAGUGCGAAUUAAUGUACGCGUGCUCGUGUACGAGACCAAAUACUUACCGGGGC